AGACAGAGCUUUCUGGAUGGGGUCGCUGGGCCCGUGCAGUCCAGGAUGCCAGCCCAUGGAAUGGUGCCACCCAUAUCCAGGGUGGUUCCUCCCUCUUUAGUUGAACCUUUCUGGAAAUACUCUUGCCAACACAGUCAGAGAUGUAUCUCCGUCCGAGGUGAUUCCAAAUCCAGUUCCUAGGAUUGAGCUCAGGCCCUGUGCUUGUACAAGAAGCACUUUACUGAGGUGUUACCCUGAGGUGAUACCCUGCCCUGUUGCUGAGUUCUUACAAGAAAGACUAGGGCACUGAGCAAGAACUGGACUCUAACUUGGAAUGGGCACAUCUGGAUGGGCUGAGGUCGCUGUCCUCUGCAGGCUGCCGCAGCACCCGGUCCAGGUCCCUGAGUGCCCGGUCAUACUCCCGCAGCUGGGUCAAGCAGGCCACUCGGAGACGCAGAUGCGGUCUGGGAAGGGGACACAGGAAAAGAGUUAAGUCUCUGAAUAUAGCGAGCCUCUGCUGGUGUCUGUCCGCUCCCUGUGCAGAAGACACCCACACUCUGGAGGCCUGGUCAUGGGUAGGGGUAAGGGACUGGUUCCCUUCUGUGACUGAGAGCUGCGGCUGGCCCAGCAUGUCUGUUUCCCCAUAGUUCCUAGGCA
rnacentral:lncRNA from 1 species